UUUUCAGUAGCCAGGGUGCUCUUUACUAUAAGUUCUUCAAUAUGGAGGUUAGGUUUAUGAAGAGAUCGCAAACUGUAAGACAGAAUUUGGUGUUUAAAGGAAAGAAAAACUUGCAUAAUAUACAAUAUUUUAGGGUACUUAUAUGUGGGACAUCACAAACAAAUGCAACUUGAGGUGUUGUUAAAAACACUCCUUGUUUCUGAAGAUCUGCACUCUACCUACGUUUUGAAAAAC
rnacentral:lncRNA from 1 species